rnacentral:lncRNA from 1 species
AUCUGAUUUCACAUUUUGAAAUGUUCAUCUGUCUUGACAUAGUUGAACGACUUCAAACUAGAAAGUAUGGCGCAAUGGUCAUUUCAACUUUUCAGCUGUCAACUUAUCAUUUCUCGGCAGUAAAAUAUUUUCUUUCGAGCCAUAUCUUGUUUACAUAUCUGAUACUUGCCCUAGUGCAUUUCAAUACUGCCUCUUCUUCGUAAACAAGGAUAAUCUCCUUACAAAAACAUAGCUCUAACUCGAUGUGUUAAAGAACGAUUAAAAUCAACACAAUAUAAGUUUAAGGUUUACACCAAGCAUUGGUUGAACAAUAUGAUAUGUCUUUGUCUCACCUCAUAGGCAGCAUAACAUUUGCGAUCUUUUAUAUUUGAAAACCGUGUCGGUGCUUUUUACAGUUGACUUAACGGUUUCGGUGAUUUUCAUAGUUGAAGCCGCUCGUUGGACUAUACGUGCUUACAUUCACCUCAUGUUUCAACUUUGGUUGUUAGUUGUCUAAUUUUAAAUCGUAUCACUUCUCUGUAUUAUUAUAGUUUAUAAGGUGAUAUCUUUUUUUUAUAGUUCAUCUUCAUUUAAAAACACAGCAAGAAUAUUUUAAAGGACAAACCCGUAUAAUCACGUUGAAGUACGAUAAUUUGACGCUGAAUGACUAUUGUGUGACGCUGAAGUAAGAGUUUUGACGCUUCAUGACGAUUGUUUGACGCUGAAAUACGAUUCGUACGCUAAAAUACGAUUGUAUAACCAUGAAGUACCAUUGUUUGAUACUAAAGUACGGCUG